AAAACGAAAUGCUGUUGAAUAAAUCCACAAGCCACCAAAAUUUGUUCACAGUGAUAGUUUUACAGGGGAAACGUAGAUAAUAGUACCAAGAGUUUCAGACAUUAUAGUAAGUAACUUAGUACUGAGAUUUCUUCCUAGGCGAAUUCGAAUACCGAGGAGAGGAAGAUGGCGAAACGAUCGAGACCAAUGAUUGUAAUGCCUUUGCCGCUAUCUUCAUCUUGAUUUGGCCUCUCUGUGGAACGGGACUUGUACUCUUGAAAUUCUUGCUGAAUGCAGCUGCUGACGUGGCAUCGUUUACCUUUGUCCUCAUUUUCUUGCGAGUGUUUUCUUUUUUCGACGUAAAAUCGAACUAAUUCUUGUUUUUUUGUAAGAGAUAUUGAUUUAGCUGAUCUUCGAGACUCGGAUAUCGAAUAAUGCGUGAGAAUUCGAGUAUAUAUAGGAAAAUAAUUUCGAGGUCGAGUUAGCCUUGUUUCGAGUUGUU
rnacentral:lncRNA from 1 species